CCUACGGGAGGCUGCAGUGAGGAAUAUUGGUCAAUGGCCGCAAGUCUGAACCAGCCAUGCCGCGUGCAGGAAGACGGCUCUAUGCGUUGUACACUGCUUUUGUACGAGGGUAAACGCAGAUACGCGUAUCUGUCUGACAGUAUCGUACGAAUACGGAUCGGCUAACUCCGUGCCAGCAGCCGCGGUAAUCCGGAGGAUUCAAGCGUUAUCCGGAUUUAUUGGGUUUAAAGGGUGCGUAGGCGGUCGGAUAAGUUAGAGGUGAAAUCCCGAGGCUCAACUUCGGAAGUGCCGCUGAUACUGUACGGCUAGAGAUUAGGAGCGGUAGGCGGAAUGUAUAGUGUAGCGGUGAAAUGCUUAGAGAU
rnacentral:rRNA from 1 species